UGGGUCAUCUAGUUGAGCCUUUCUUUGUUAGUUUGGUUUGGGGCUUUAUGCUCUUUAGGCGCGCUGGAUUCUAGAUUCUGGGUUUGUGCUCGUGGGCCCUUCAUGGAAAAUUAUCUUCUAUCAUUGUAUAUUCUGAGCUCUGGGGGUCCAUUUUCUUAACCCUUCGCCUUUUUGUUUUAACGAUUUUUUUUGGAGGAAAUAUCCGUAGCAUUUAUAUGUCCGGACUGGGUGUCCCAAGUUUUCAUGUUGUACUUCUUAUAUAUUGCAGUUUACCCAUUCUAUACAUCAUCGCUCUUCCAGCAUUUUCCUUUUUGCCUUAUGUUGUAUGGUAUUCCUCCUGUCCCCGUUCUCACAACCAGCCCAACCCCCCAAAAUUGAAAA
rnacentral:sRNA from 1 species